AUUUAUUAAAACAAUUUCGUAUCUUCACACAAAACGCUGUAACACUGUUCACAGUUUUUCAUCUUCCUUUGCACCGAAUGUAAACAUUAUUGCUAAAUGAAAAUAUUCGUACGUUCACUUGAUGUUAGGAUGUCGUUUUGGUAACAGUAACGCAAAAGAGUGCACAACAGUAUUUAAAAUGAAUACCAAAAAGUGUGAGGCUUACUGUUUACAGUGCUAUAUAUUAGGUAGACAACUAAGUGAUGGCGGAUUUUGUCAAUGCCACCUAACGACAAAGUCCACAAUCACUUAGCUACCAACCCAAUACAAUCUGUACAUUUAUCAUUCCUAUUUUUACAGACAAAUAAAAUACAACAAUCUGUAGAAGUGAGAGAGUCGUUAAGAGAAUUGCUGUUUGAGACAGUCGUUAAAAAAGCCAUUAAAACCAAUGAAAUUUGAUAUAAUCGUCAAUACGUAAAUAAAAUGUGAAACUGUAAAAUUGGGAAAAUUGGAUGACCAACGCUCGUUCACUAUCAAACGAAAUUCCGUGAAGAGAAUUCCUGAAGUGCCUGGUGGAAAUUGUAAUUGGGAUAAAGAGUUCGGUACAGCGCGUCCGAAAUCAAUUGACCGUUCAACAUCACUUCGCCUAUUCCAAGAGCGACUCACAGUUAAGACGAAGUGGGGGAAACUCCUUAACCUGCAAAGCUUAGUUUCGAACCACCGAAUAAUAUGGUGGGAUUUGUUCUUUCAUGGCUUCGAACGGUCAAUUGAUACUACGUGUAACAGAACUAAAAAGAUUUUAGUUGGUCGAAGCUACGUAAAGGGAAUUUCACAACGAAGAACCGUGUCAACUGUGAAUCGAUUAAAUCGAGGAAAGUUCAAAUAUUUAAAAAGAAAGGAAACAUGAAAAUAGAAAGGAAAAUAGAAACAAGGGGGCGGAUUUGCCAAAAAAUUUCAAAUGAAAAACUGGUGUAAAAUUUUGCAAGGCGAAAGUUUGAAGUCGACCGAUCUUUCAAAGUAAAAGGUAACGUUCGUUGCUUAAGAAAAGAAAUUACCCGCGGAAUAUGAAACGUUUUGGCUGGAAACACAGUUUAAAAUGGAACGAUGCGGAUUGUUGACAAUCGGGGGAAAAAAAGACAGGAAGAAGCAAGCAACUUUGACGCAAACAACUUUUUACUGAAAUAUCAAGGCGAAGAAGUAGUUCAAGAUGAAAGCAAAUGGAACACCGCAGCCCCGUGGUUUCAUAUGAAACUUCUCAAGCGUCCAACUUUCAUCUGAUCGAUGCAAAAAAAAAGAAAGAAGAAAUAUAUCGUUUGAACGACUCGAAUCAUUAACUUGAAACAAGAUCUCCUAUCGUUUGUGUAGAUAGGAGCACGUUUACGAGAAUAUUGCAAGCUAAGGUAGUCGAUCUAAUGACCAUAUGUUUUUCGAAAAGUACAUUCCAUGCCUGCGAAGAACAUUUGUACACCGCUUUAUUUAUUGCGGCAUUUUAUAUGCUAAUUAAUUAGCUUCAAGCAUAUUAAAUUUACACGAAAUGUAGAAUUUAUUAACACAUUGUUGACCGGCAAUUUUACUGAGAAUUUUAUACCACCGGUUAUUAUUUCGCAAUUGUAUGUGCAAGUAAAACAAUAUAAAUAAACUUUAAUAAAUUUUAUCUAUUAUUCAA